UACGUAGGGGGCAAGCGUUGUCCGGAAUUAUUGGGCGUAAAGAGCGCGUAGGCGGUCCGAUAAGUCGGCUGUGAAAGUCAAGGGCUCAACCCUUGAAAGCCGGCCGAUACUGUCGGACUAGAGUCCGGAAGAGGCGAGUGGAAUUCCCGGUGUAGCGGUGAAAUGCGCAGAUAUCAGAAGGAACACCAAUGGCGAAGGCAGCUCGCUGGGACGGUACUGACGCUGAGACGCGAAAGCGUGGGGAGCAAACAGG
rnacentral:rRNA from 1 species